rnacentral:rRNA from 1 species
AUCCUCCCACCCUUUGUGUACCUACCUCUGUUGCUUUGGCGGGCCGCGGUCCUCCGCGGCCGCCCCCUCCCCGGGGGUGGCCAGCGCCCGCCAGAGGACCAUCAAACUCCAGUCAGUAAACGAUGCAGUCUGAAAAAUAUUCAAUAAACUAAAACUUUCAACAACGGAUCUCUUGGUUCUGGCAUCGAUGAAGAACGCAGCGAAAUGCGAUAAGUAAUGUGAAUUGCAGAAUUCAGUGAAUCAUCGAAUCUUUGAACGCACAUUGCGCCCUUUGGUAUUCCGAAGGGCAUGCCUGUUCGAGCGUCAUUACAACCCUCAAGCUCUGCUUGGUAUUGGGCACCGUCCUUUGCGGGCGCGCCUCAAAGACCUCGGCGGUGGCGUCUUGCCUCAAGCGUAGUAGAACAUACAUCUCGCUUCGGAGCGCAGGGCGUCGCCCGCCGGACGAACCUUCUGAACUUUUCUCAAGGUUGACCUCGGAUCAGGUAGGGAUACCCGCUGAACUUAAGCAUAU